rnacentral:rRNA from 1 species
GUGGGGAAUUUUGGACAAUGGGCGCAAGCCUGAUCCAGCAAUGCCGCGUGCAGGAAGAAGGCCUUCGGGUUGUAAACUGCUUUUGUACGGAACGAAACGGUCCGGGUUAAUACCCUGGGCUAAUGACGGUACCGUAAGAAUAAGCACCGGCUAACUACGUGCCAGCAGCCGCGGUAAUACGUAGGGUGCAAGCGUUAAUCGGAAUUACUGGGCGUAAAGCGUGCGCAGGCGGUUUUGUAAGACAGGCGUGAAAUCCCCGGGCUCAACCUGGGAACUGCGCUUGUGACUGCAAGGCUGGAGUGCGGCAGAGGGGGAUGGAAUUCCGCGUGUAGCAGUGAAAUGCGUAGAUAUGCGGAGGAACACCGAUGGCGAAGGCAAUCCCCUGGGCCUGCACUGACGCUCAUGCACGAAAGCGUGGGGAGCAAACAGGAUUAGAAACCCCUGUAGUCC